UUUUUACAUAAACAAUAGGGCAGAGGAAGCAAUCGGAUAGGCAUUUGCUUCAGGUGAGCAGAGGGAUGACUUUCUGUCCCACAUCUGUGAAGAUCAGCUGUUGGUUUACAUUGCCAGGGUGAAAUUCAACAGAACUAAUUUAGGGUGAAGAUCUUGAGGCCCACAAGGAAUUUCCUUGUGGGAAAAUUGUGAGGAAGAUCGGAUGAGAGAAGAGAAGUGACUUCCCCAUGGUCACAUGUCUAGUUGGCAAUGGAAGUGGGAUUCAAGUCCAGUUCCACCUGACUUCAAAGCUUAUUCCUGUUUGACUUCACCCUGCUGCCUCUAAGAUAAAGGGGAGAUCAGGAGAGCAGAAUGGUUGCUUCCCCAGAGGAACAUGUGGUCUCAUUUUCUGCUUAGGGAUAGCUCACAGGAUUCAUGAAGUGGUCACCAGAGGAUAAGGACCAACCAGGUUAACGUGAAGAAAACACCCAGCUGCAGCUGUUUAAUGAGCAACUCGAAGCUGUGGAUAAGAGCAAUCACUGCACCCAGCCACCUCUAUAUACAUGUACACAAAGCCACACAGUUUACACAGUCACAGGUAUUUAAGUACACACUAUUCACACACAAAUACAUAUAUAGACACACAUGUACAGUCCGUCCAAAAUAUAUGUACAUAAAAGCACACUAUUACACCUUCAUAUGUGCACACACACACACACCCAGACUCACUUCAUACACACAUAGAUACAACAGCCACAGCUCCCCAUCACCUACACACACACACACACACCUGGACACCCAGCUCUAAUAUAAUCAGAUAGAGAUAUGCAUGCAGACAAAUUUGCCUGUAUAGUCAAACACAUAGGCAAAUAGAGAACGAGACACCACAUGAACAAAGGCAAACCUACACACAAAGACACAGAGCACACUUACGCAUAUAUCUAUAGACCCACCAUGGCACAUAUGGGUAAGUGCACACAGGCAAACUCACACACACGAGCAUGCACAGGCAGAGAACACAAAUGUACACUCCCAGGUGUCAUAAAGAACAGCCCAGCUUCGGCUUGGGAACGUCACAUCAGACAAUAGGAACGGCUGCACCGCGCGUUUCCUCGGCUGCCAGCUUCCCAGCCACAGAGGAUGCCUCACCUGCUAUGUCAGCUCCCCUCUGCCCCACCUCACAAGAAGCUCAGAAGCUGAGGAGUCACAGAGAGACCUCCCUACUGUGUCAGAGGUACAGCUUGAGCAAAGACACAGAAGCAGAAGGCAGGUUUUUGGUUCCAUGAACUCUACAUCUGGCUACAUACAAAUGGUGAAGAGGAACAGGGAGAAACAUGGUUGAAAAGAACAGGCUUGGACUUCAGGAAGCAGUAAAAUGAGCGAAUGCCAUUUAUGGUUACAAAGAUAACUCAGCUGGGGGCCAAACAGAGACUGAAAUGGAGUGGGUGAGGAUGGAGGCCGGGAGGAGAUGGCUGCAGAGGUCCCAGCAAUGACAGUGGUUGUGGGAAGGGGCAACCCCAAGUCUUGUGCUCCCAACUGCAAAUCCAGUGCUUUUUCUAAAAAAAUAUUUAAAUAAUUUAUUUAUUUUUGAGAUGGAGUCUCGCUCUGUCACCCAGGCUGGAGUGCAGUGACACAAUGUCGGCUCGUGCAACCUCUGCCCCCCGGGUUCAAGCGAUUCUCCUGCCUCAGCCUCCCAAGUAGCUGGGAUUACAGACGCACGCCUCCACGCCUGGCUAAUUUUUUAUAUUUUUGGUAGAGAUGGGGUUUCACCAUGUUGCCCAGGCUGGUCUCGAACUCCUGACUUCAAGUGAUCCACCCACCUCGGCCUCCCAAAGUACUAGGAUGACAGGCGUGAGCCACUGUGCCCAGCCUUAUUUUUUUUUUUAAUUUAUAUUUUCAGAGGCAAACGAUCCUUGCUCAUUAAAAAAAGGAAAUAGAAAUUCAAAACAAAAAUGCCUGUAUCUGAUGGGAAAGAUGAGCCCAAUGUUCUUUUUUAAAAAACCUUUAUUAUGAAAUAUUUCAACUGAACAUAUGCAGUUUAUAUUGUUAUAAAGCAUAACAAGCAAUCAAACAGCUGUGAACCCACCACUCCAUGUCAGAACUAGAACUUCCCAAAGCAGUCGGAGCUGAGGUGAGAUCCACUCUGAUGCCCUUCCCCAACUCCACGCCACCCCCCAAGACCUGACCACCUGAUUACUCUGGGAUUUCAUUUUUGUCUCGUUCCCUUGCUUUGCUUUAUGUCUUUACCAAAUGUGAAUGUGUGCCUAAACAAUACAGUGCUCGAUUUGCUUGUGUUUAAGCUUUAUUACAAAUAUAACUUUGAUCCUUCUGCUACUUGCAAUUCUAAAUUUGAUAUUACGAGUCUCAGCCUCAUCGGCGUUGAUGCGUGUGACCGACAUUGAUUCACUCUCACCAGUACGUGGUGUGUUCCGUUGCAUGCAUGCACCCCUGCUGGGGUAUCCAUUCUCCUGUUGGUGGACCUUUGGGUGGUAUUAGUUGCUGGUCAUCUCCAUGGUGCUGUCCUCUUGCAGGUCUCCAGGACACAUGUGCAUGAGUUCCUCUAGGAAACCACGGUGUACAACUGCUGGGUUGCAGGCCCAGGGUUCUUUCCACUUCUCUAUCCUCCCAAGUAGGGUCCAGCUGGCCUUAGUGCUGCCAUGCUGAGAGCUCUGGGAGGGGCAACCCAGGGCAGACAGGCCCAGGCCAGCCACCCUGCCCCAGGCAUUUCCCAGGACUCAUCAGGCACCCAGCGGCCCCUCAGCAGUGAGCAAUACCAGAAAUCUGCCAGCUGGCUACUAACUGGGUCACAAGAGAGUACUGCUGUCUCACUCAGGGUGCGUUCCAUUUCCUUCAGCACUUGCGCCAAGUAAGGCUGUGUUCACAGGCCACAAGACCCAAGGGAGAUGGAAAUCAGCUCACAGAUGCUGAGCUGACUGCACACCAGGCAGUGUGCAAAGCACCUUACACAUAUAACUCACUUAAUCCUCAUCCCUGACUGCACGAGGUGGGCACUAUUAUUAACCCCACUUUACAGAUAAGAAACUGAGGCGCAGGAAGUUGAAAAUUUUGCCCAGACCAACACGUACAACUUCAAAUCCAGACAGCCUGGCCGCUCUGCUCCUACUACUCUGCUACCCCAUCUCUCAAGAGGGGAAAAGGACUAGCUCCUUGCCCAAUCCUGAGGUUGUCAGCAUUCUUUUACUGGCAAGGAAAACAAAUGGAACUUCAAUGAAUAUAUGUAGAAAGAAAGACUUAUUAGCUGACAAAAAUCAAUAGAGAAAAGACAGGUUAGAAGCAGAUCUCAGGGCCCACUGGGUCCAGGGAGGCGAAAGCGCCCCUCCUUCUCCGUCUUCCUCCUCCACGUCUCUCUUUGUGCUGUUUUCAUUCUUUCCUAUUGCAAAAGGGCCUCCUCCCCUGGGCAGGUAGGUGGCUGCCUGCAACUCUCACCUCACCUUCUCACAGAUCUGCCUAUUUCUAUUUUAAAAUACAAACAAACCAAAAGCCAGAGAAGGUUCCUGACAGGCCCAGGAAAGGAUGUGAUUAGCUUAGUCUGGGCCACCUGCCCAUUUUUUAUGGACUAAAUGUUUGUGUGUCUCCAAAUUGGUAUGUGGAAGCCCUACCCCCAGUGUGACAGUAUUAGGAAGUGGGGCCUCUGAAAGGUCAUUAGGUUUCAAUGAGGUCAUGAGGGUGGGGGGAUCCAUGAUGGAAUUAGUGCCGUUAUAAGAAAAGGAAGAGACACCAGAGUUUUCUCUCCACCAUGUGAGGUUACAGCAAGAAGGCAGCUGUCUGCAAGCCUGAAGAGAGCCCUUACCAGGAGCCAAAUCUGCCAGCACCCUGAUCUUGGACUUCCAGAACUGUGAGAAAUAAAUUCCUGUUCCUGAAGCCACUCAGUCCGUGGGAUUCUAUUAGCAGUCGGGACUGACUUGGACACUGUUCCUGGAGCAACGCUAGUGGCCUGGGGAAGCUGGGCCCUGGGACUGGUGCAGGGAGGGCCACAGUCCCAGCCUAUAGCAGCUGAAGCUGCAUUUGUCCCCAGGAAGAGGACAUCACAGACACAACCCCAGAGGCAGUGGGAGGGGGCAUGAUUGAUUGGGAGCAAGGCAACAGUCUAACAGGGCCCAUCUGUGCCCAGGAGUGGGAGAAGCUCCUGGCCAUGAAGAGAGCCCUCACCAGAGGCCAAACCUACUAGGACCUUGAUCUUGGACUUCCAGCCUCCUCCCUGGAAACACGUGACAGCACAUAUGGGUGGUCUCCCUUCUUGAGCGAGGCCUGAGUCUUCACCCAGGAUCCAACUAGACUGAAAAGAACUGUCUCCCUAACAGCACUCCAUCAGCAUUCAGAGAAAAGAGAUUUCCACCUGGUGUUUUUAACCAACACAACCUCCUUCUACACCCUAACCCAUAGAGGGCCCUGGGACCAGUAUAAGAAGUGUGGGUGUUAAGCUGGGACUGCUAGAAGGAGCAGCAGCCCCAUGGGAGCAGGGCAGGAGGGUCCCCUCUUGACCUGCUGACUGCAAACACUGCAGCCGGAGAGACACUCACUCAGGCCACGGUGGGGAGGCCCAGGGGAGGCACGUGUCCUCAUUCUGCUAAGGCGAUAGGGCUCGGGCACAGGACAGGCGAUUUGA
rnacentral:lncRNA from 1 species